GACAAAUUUCUGCAUUUUCAGCUUUCUUGGAUAUGAUACCAAGAAUUUUGAAAUUGUUGAGUGAAAUGGUAAUUCUGACUUUUUGAGGAACUGACAAACUGUCCCAAAGCAGCUGCACUAUUGCAGAGGUCAAAUGGCAGGUUUUAAGAGUAAAUUUUCAUACUUAGGAUGUGACUUUAGGACACUAUUAAAACCUUAUAGAAAAAUAAAAAAUCAAUUCAAAUUGCUUUGUUAGUCUCUUGUCUGCCAUCUACCUGCUAAUAGUAAUUUCUUGUGGAAAUUCUAUAGUUAAAGUAAUCCAGUUUUCUUGAGCUGUUCUUAUGAUGUGGCUUAGAUUUUAGAAAAUAUUCUUAUUAUCUCACCCUUUUUAAUACCUGUGACCUUUGAGCAUUUCAUUGAUGCUUGGUGUUACUGACAAUUUUCCCCAAAUUAAGUAUAAGUUUAUUAAAGGUAAGAGCUCCCCAGGGAGCCAUAUACAUAGUUUCAGUUUAUUUAAAAUGCUUAUACAAUUCAUAUAUUAGUUACUGCACAGCCCAGCUUCUAGGCCACUGGGUCACAAAUUUCAGCUUCCUCUUUUUAGGUUCCUAACCUCCUAGACUUUAGAUAUUAAGAUUCCCAAGUGACUAUGCAAACAUACCAG
rnacentral:lncRNA from 1 species